UCACCGAAGUCAAGCAUCAUCGGGCGCGGUCAGUACUUGGGAGGGUGACCACCUGGGAACACCGCGUGCCGUU
rnacentral:rRNA from 1 species